rnacentral:rRNA from 1 species
GACGAACGUUGGCGGCGUGCCUAAUACAUGCAAGUCAACUGAAGCAAGGUAGCAAUAUCUUGUGGAGGUGGCGCACGGGUGAGUAACACGUAGGUAAUCUGCCUUCAGGUCUGACAUAACUCCGGGAAACCGGAGCUAAUAGCAGAUGAUGCAGCGGCUUGACAUCAAGACAGUUGUUAAGGCUUCGGCGCCUGAAGAUGAGCCUGCGUCUGAUUAGCUAGUUGGCGGAGUAAUAGCCCACCAAGGCGACGAUCAGUAACUGGUCUGAGAGGAUGAUCAGUCACACUGGAACUGAGACACGGUCCAGACUCCUACGGGAGCAGCAGUAAGGAAUAUUGCUCAAUGGGGGAAACCCUGAAGCAGCAACGCCGCGUGAGGGAUGGAAGGGCUUUU